GUUGCAUAAGGGCAAAAUAGUCCAUUUAAAAAAUGGUUAUAAUAUAUGAAAAGAAUGGGUGAUCUGUGGCAGUCUGAAAUGUUUGCUCUUGGUGCUCUCAAAACCGAAGAAUGACUACACACACCAAACACCUUUACCUUGUUCCUUCAGUAUUCAACUCUCUGGAGUAUAUGGAAUCACAAAGGAGCACAAACGGAACUGCAUUACAUCUGUAUCAAUGCAUAUUUGGGGUGUCGGUGAAGGAAAAGGUGAAUAAAAGAAUCAAUGACACCUCUUAAAUUAUCCUGGAUAUAGCUUGAGCCCAUCCUUCGAAGUGAGGUUAUCAUAAGGAUGGAA